UGCUGCAUGGCUGUCGUCAGCUCGUGUCGUGAGAUGUUCGGUUAAGUCCGCUAACGAGCGCAACCCUCGCUGUGUGUUAUAUGUGUCACACGGGACGUGCCGGUCUUAAGCCGGAGGAAGGUGGGGAUGAUGUCAAGUCAGCAUGGCCUUUAUAUCCUGGGCUACACACACGCUACAAUGGCCAACACAAUAGGUUGCUAAGCCGCGAGGUGGCGCCAAUCCAUAAAGUUGGUCUCAGUUCAGAUUGUAGGCUGCAACCCGCCUGCAUGAAGAUGGAGUUGCUAGUAACCGCAGGUCAGCUAUACUGCGGUGAAUACGUUCCCGGGGCUU
rnacentral:rRNA from 1 species